rnacentral:misc_RNA from 1 species
AACCUUAUGGACCUGCGGGCGUAUACCUGCGGAAGGAUCAUUACCGAGUGAGGGCCCUCCGGGUCCAACCUCCCACCCGUGUUUAACGAACCUUGUUGCUUCGGCGGGCCCGCCUCACGGCCGCCGGGGGGCACCCCGCCCCCGGGCCCGCGCCCGCCGAAGACACCUGUGAACGCUGUCUGAAGUUGCAGUCUGAGACACUAGCUCAAUCAGUUAAAACUUUCAGCAACGGAUCUCAGA